UGGAGAAUAGCUACAACGUUAAAAGAAGAUAUGCAAUUAACCGAACCAACUAAUAGUGAAUCCAAUUGCUAAAAUCUUCCAAUUUGUUGCAUAAGAAGGAUUCAUUUGUUACAUUGCUAAAAUCUUCCAAUUUGUUGCAUAACCAGCAACUGAAAGGGAACAAACAUGAAACUCUCACAAUAACGAUAACUCAAAAAAUCUAAGUCAGGCAGUUGUCUUUCAGGCCUUCUUUUUCCUACCCAAUGUAGGUCUCUUGCCAAUCCUUGAAGUAGUCGUGCUGGAUUGCGGCAGCAGCCCCCGCAACAUGGCCAAAACACCUAAUCCCAAAAAAGGGGAGUACACAUAUAACAGCUUAUCAGAAGCCUUGCCGGACUGAACAAGCUCUGAUAGUAUUGUAACCUGAAAUUUUGACAAAACCAAAAUCUGUUAAGAAAGAAAAAAGUUGAAGAAGGGUGGUUGACAAUCCAAUAUGGAAUAGUUCAACAUGACAGACCAUGUAUGUGCUGCCGAAUCCAGAAAAAACUCCACCUCCAAUAACCCAAUUAGAAUUCUCACCACCAUUACGUAAUAAUUAUGCGAGUGCUUACGGGUAAUGAUUAACAGUUUAACACUAACCAUGUGACCUUAAGACAUUGCUUCGCCUACAAUGGUGUUUCGUUACCAAUCCAAUUCAUGCUUAAAAUGAGGAAGCCAAAUCCAUCAGCAGAGCAAACAGUUAUUGUUCCGAUAUGUUAGAAUUUGAUCGAUGCUAAUAGUUUUCGGAACUCUCUUAUCUGGCUAAUAGUUUUCGAGACUUGGGAGCAGCCUCUCCAUAAAUGGGGGUAAGGCUAGCCGACAUUCACCUCUCCCAGACCCUGCGUAAAGCGGGAGCUGGGUACGACCUUUUUAAGUUAUAUAACAUCAUUCAAACAAGUUUCGCUUCAUUUUCUAUCUUGUACAUUUUAACAUCUUUGACUUCUUAAACCACCCUCGGAUUGGAUACUACAAUUAAUCCAUGUUAAAUCCUAUAAAAGUUACAAACUUGGAAGAUAAUUAACAAGAAAAUAUAUAAUUAACCAAUUAAAAACUAUAAAAAAAAAAAUAAGAGAACCAGCAAAACCCAAGAUCUAAAACCAAACAAAUCACCAAUUUGCUAUAAUUUAUAAUGUUAUUAAAAGAAAAGAAAGAAGAAAACGUUACCAUGGAGGUAAAUACCGAAGCGCCAUAGAUCAAACAGGUGGUGUUCAACCAAGACUUGGCGGCCAGAAUUCCGUACAAGUUGGCAACCGCCAGAGGCCAUUGGAAGAGCAGCUCAACCCAAACGAUCCCAACAAAGAAAUGAGGCUUCUGGCUCACCAGAUAAUCUCCAUAGGUGCGCGCGUACCAGCUCUUGAGCUCCACCAGCACCUCCGGGAAGAAACUCUGCGGCAGACAUGUCUGCCCGUCGAUAAACGGCGCAGCCACCGCAAUCACGACGAAGAAUACGAAGAGCGUGGCGUCUACCAGUUUCAACAGAGCACCCAUUUGGAAUUUUCGGGGUGGAUAUCUUUGCUUUCCUUCAAUGGAUCUCUCUGGUUUGCUCCGUGAAACUUUGGUUUUGUUUGUGCGGUCAAAUUUCCUGAUCUGAACGACGUGUCGUUUCCUAAUAUGUUUGGAACAUAUUCAGACGCCAAGUCGUUUUAUUGUUUUUAUCCUUACCAACUAGGCAACAGGACCAUAUUCCUAUUCUUUGCAUCCCCAACUUGGAUGUAGAUUUUCAGUUAUAACUUGGCUUGCAAGAAAAGUAAUAGAUUGACGGAUUGAUUUUGUCUUUCGAUACAAUUAUACUAAGGGAGGGUGAUUUCGAACUCAGAAAAGCAAACACCCACAACAAAUUUCCUUAUUUUAAUGAAAAAUUAAAAGUUACUGUAAAUAAAAAGUUUGUUUUCUUGGCUAUUUCAAAAGAAAGCACCCAAAGUUAUGCAGGAAUAGAAUUUCUUUUUAUACCUAGGAAUAAAUUACAUUCCAGAAAGCACCCAAAGUUAUGCAGGAAUAUGAUUUUUUCCUUUUUCGAGUCGAUAUUUUACACUAAGCAGAGAGUGAGUUCGGCUAAAUCACACAAUGGAUAGCCUAAUUUGGUAUUGAAUUCGUCAUCCACAAGAUUCGAACCUAAGACAUCUCACUUUCAAGUGAAGAGAAAUACCACCAGAAGUACUGAGUGGCAGGAAUAGGAUUUCUUUUUAUACCUAGGAAUAAAUUACAUCCCAAAUUAGCUGGGGAAAUUUUUUAAACUACAAAUUACGAGAAAAAAAUAAAGGGUUCGUUUUUUCUCACCCCCUAACUCUUAGGUUUACCACCCUCACUCUUAGGUUACCCCCCUAAAUCAAGAUAACAAUUACUUUCUUCCAUAUUUGUGCCACGUGUAUAAAAAACUAACCAUGAUUAGUCUAUAUUCUUAUCUUUUUUACGGAAAAGAAAAAAUUAAAUUAAUGAAGAAAAAAAAAAUACCAUCUGUUCUCUCUAUAAUAUCUCAUCAUAAAUAGUUGAUCGACACUAAUACCCCCUUUCACCUCCCACUUCUUCGGGCGUAGAAGUAGCAACAACUCCUGAAAGAAAAGCCUUUAAUUAAUUAUCAUACACCAUGCCACUGCACCUUAAUAAAUUGAGUCAAGUUGCCUCCAAGAAAGGGUGUAUAUGAAUUCUUUUAAGUGAAUGAGGUUCCCCAUAUUACUCAUACGAUCCCGAAGUUGCCUACAAGAAAGACUGUAUAUCAACCAAACUAACAUUUCUCUGGUUAAUUCUUCUUUCGAUUUUCCUGCACUACAGUUUUUUCUUUUCAUUUUGAUAUGUCGUAGCCGAAUUGGUAGGACGGGAAAGGGAGUAUUAAUGCCAAUCAAUUGUUUGAUGAGGAUUAGAGAGAAUAAAUGGUGGUAAGGUUUAAUUGUUUUUCUUUUACAUAAUAAAUAAUUAAAUAGUAUAGACUAACUAUAGUUACAUUUUUUAACAUAUGACGUAAUUCUGGACCGAAAGUAACGAUUACCUUGAGUUUGGGAGUGAGCAAAUUAAAACGAACUCAAAAUUUAAAAUGAAAAAAAGAAUAAAACUAAAAGAAAUAUAAAGCAAUUAGGAAUCCUUAUUUAAUAAGAACUCCCUUUUGGAUUUUCAUAAUACAAUAAGGAAAAAGAGAGGGAUUAUAAAACCACCCGCUUCUCAACCUUGUUUAUGUCCGCGAAUUAGAAGUUGAAACUUCCUGUCAAAUCCCACAGCAGAACUGGUGAUGCCGAUACGCGACGUCAAGACCCUCAAUCCUAUGAAAUCCCACUCCGCCACGAAGCUCUCUGCCGAUGCGAAAGCAUUCUUUCCAGGGAAAACAAGCAGCCGUGAUAAACAAAACCCUAAUCAUUCACCUCUUUUUCCUCCACCCUUGCCCUACCACCAACAACACUAUAUUCCUCCUCCUAUGUUUUAUCACCGUACAUCAUGUCCUACACCGGUCAAUCCGCAACUGCAGUGUGUUCAGUUUCCUCCGUUUUACUAUGUUCCUCCUAGUUCCGUGAUCAUGAUUGACCAAGGCCUUACGGUUAAUCCAUGGGCUCCAUUACCGCCACAAGAUUUACUGGUUUUGAGAAGUAACAUCGUUAGACAAAUAGAGUAUUAUUUCAGUGAUAAAAAUCUAAAGAAGGAUCGUUACCUAAUUUCGAUUAUGGAUGACCAAGGAUGGGUUUCGAUAUCCACCAUCGCUGAAUUUAAUAGACUCAAGAAUAUGUGCACCGACAUACCGUUUAUCCUUGAUUCGUUGUUGUUGGGCUCGACCAGUGUGGAAGUGCAGGGUUACAAGAUACGGCUACGGGACAAGUGGUUGAAGUGGAUUCCGGCUCAUGCAGACUCUACCGUAACAUCAAAACAGCAUAUUCAGCCGGAGCAACUUAGGUCUGCCAAUAAUCGUGAUCAAAUUGUUGACGCUUCAUCUGAUGGAAAAGAUUCAACGGAUCUCUUGCUAUCUAGCACUGGACAUGGCACUGCAGAUGGUGUUCUUGAUGGUGGAUCUCUUGUGUUUACUGCUGAUAAUUGAGUUGGCUCAUAGAUUGGCAAUGGGGUUGCUCAUAGAAUAUUGGUUCGGUUUUCUCUGUCUAUGUCUCAUGAUUUGGUUUGCUUGGAAGAACCUGCUGACGCAAUUUUCAAUAUUUUGUUAGGACGAUAGAUGAUAAUGUUUCAUAUUUUAGUGUGUGGUACAUAUAAUUUCCUUCGAUUGGGUGAAAUUCCUGACAAGGUUUUUUUUGAGGCCCACACUUCUAUCCUCUUGUAAGGUUUCUUUACAAUGUUUACAUGAAUGAAUAAUUGAAUAUCGUACUCUUUUAGAUAAAAGUAUUCUUCUGUUGAUUUUCAGAUUGUGGCCUUUUCGAAAGAAAAUCUUACGUGACAAUUGGUAUACUGAGGAUCAAUUCAAUCUGGAUGUGAUUAGGAACUUAGCAUGAGAUGAGAGAUACAUUAAUCGACAUCCUUGGAAAAUAAAUACUGUAGUAACUUAUGUUUAUCUUUCCUUUUCUUCAAAUUCUGAUAUGUUACCAAGAGUUUAUUGAUAAAUCCAAUUAGCAACAACUUUCAAUCAUUCAUAACAAGAGUUUAUUGAUAAAUUGAGAACAUGGACACAUAAUUGACAUAUAUGAACUAUCAAAAUAAUGAUAAAUUGCAAAAUGUGUCUGCAAGUUCAGUUGUACGUCAAGCCUUCUUUUUCCUACCCAAUGUAGGUCUCUUGCCA
rnacentral:lncRNA from 1 species